AGCUUUGCGCAGUGGCAGUAUCGUAGCCAAUGAGGUUUAUCCGAGGCGCGAUUAUUGCUAAUUAAAUUCUGGCAGGUGUAGAGAGUUUAGGUUUUACCUCCUUUUCGUUAAGCUGUAGCCCCUCAGAGAUGAUUUGAGCGUUCUUAUUAUAUCUCUGCUUCCCUCCAUCUGAUGGGAGCAGAUUAAUAAGCAGUUUGGCU
rnacentral:snRNA from 1 species